UACGGAGGGUGCGAGCGUUGUCCGGAAUCACUGGGCGUAAAGGGCGCGUAGGCGGCCUGAUAAGUAGGGGGUGAAAUCCUGCGGCUUAACCGCAGGGCUGCCUUCUAAACUGUCAGGCUUGAGCACAGUAGAGGCAGAUGGAAUUCCCGGUGUAGAGGUGAAAUUCGUAGAUAUUCGGAAGAACACCAGUGGCGAAGGCGGCUCACUGGACCGGUAUUGACGCUGAGGUGCGAAAGCGUGGGGAGCAAACAGG
rnacentral:rRNA from 1 species